rnacentral:rRNA from 1 species
AUUGAACGCUGGCGGCAGGCCUAACACAUGCAAGUCGAGCGAGUGGCUGACGGGUGAGUAAUGCUUGGGAAUCUAGCUUAUGGAGGGGGAUAACUACGGGAAACUGUAGCUAAUACCGCGUACCCUAGGAUGAGCCCGAGUGGGAUUAGGUAGUUGGUGAGGUAAAGGCUCCCCAAGCCGACGAUCUCUCGCUGGUCUGAGAGGAUGACCAGCCACACUGGGACGGGUACAAGGCCCACACCACUACGGGAGGCAGCAGGGGGGAAUAUUGGACUAUGGGCGAAAGCCUGAUCCAGCAAUACCGCGUGUGUGAAGAAGGCCCUAGGGUUGUAAAGCACUUUUGUUAGGGAGAUGUUACCUAAAGAAUAAGCACCGGCUAACUCCGUGCCAGCCGCCGCGGUAAUAC